CAGUCGAACGAACUCUGGUAUUGAUUGGUGCUUGCAUCAUGAUUUACAUUUGAGUGAGUGGCGAACUGGUGAGUAACACGUGGGAAACCUGCCCAGAAGCGGGGGAUAACACCUGGAAACAGAUGCUAAUACCGCAUAACAACUUGGACCGCAUGGUCCGAGUUUGAAAGAUGGCUUCGGCUAUCACUUUUGGAUGGUCCCGCGGCGUAUUAGCUAGAUGGUGAGGUAACGGCUCACCAUGGCAAUGAUACGUAGCCGACCUGAGAGGGUAAUCGGCCACAUUGGGACUGAGACACGGCCCAAACUCCUACGGGAGGCAGCAGUAGGGAAUCUUCCACAAUGGACGAAAGUCUGAUGGAGCAACGCCGCGUGAGUGAAGAAGGGUUUCGGCUCGUAAAACUCUGUUGUUAAAGAAGAACAUAUCUGAGAGUAACUGUUCAGGUAUUGACGGUAUUUAACCAGAAAGCCACGGCUAACUACGUGCCAGCAGCCGCGGUAAUACGUAGGUGGCAAGCGUUGUCCGGAUUUAUUGGGCGUAAAGCGAGCGCAGGCGGUUUUUUAAGUCUGAUGUGAAAGCCUUCGGCUCAACCGAAGAAGUGCAUCGGAAACUGGGAAACUUGAGUGCAGAAGAGGACAGUGGAACUCCAUGUGUAGCGGUGAAAUGCGUAGAUAUAUGGAAGAACACCAGUGGCGAAGGCGGCUGUCUGGUCUGUAACUGACGCUGAGGCUCGAAAGUAUGGGUAGCAAACAGGAUUAGAUACCCUGGUAGUCCAUACCGUAAACGAUGAAUGCUAAGUGUUGGAGGGUUUCCGCCCUUCAGUGCUGCAGCUAACGCAUUAAGCAUUCCGCCUGGGGAGUACGGCCGCAAGGCUGAAACUCAAAGGAAUUGACGGGGGCCCGCACAAGCGGUGGAGCAUGUGGUUUAAUUCGAAGCUACGCGAAGAACCUUACCAGGUCUUGACAUACUAUGCAAAUCUAAGAGAUUAGACGUUCCCUUCGGGGACAUGGAUACAGGUGGUGCAUGGUUGUCGUCAGCUCGUGUCGUGAGAUGUUGGGUUAAGUCCCGCAACGAGCGCAACCCUUAUUAUCAGUUGCCAGCAUUAAGUUGGGCACUCUGGUGAGACUGCCGGUGACAAACCGGAGGAAGGUGGGGAUGACGUCAAAUCAUCAUGCCCCUUAUGACCUGGGCUACACACGUGCUACAAUGGAUGGUACAACGAGUUGCGAACUCGCGAGAGUAAGCUAAUCUCUUAAAGCCAUUCUCAGUUCGGAUUGUAGGCUGCAACUCGCCUACAUGAAGUCGGAAUCGCUAGUAAUCGCGGAUCAGCAUGCCGCGGUGAAUACGUUCCCGGGCCUUGUACACACCGCCCGUCACACCAUGAGAGUUUGUAACACCCAAAGUCGGUGGGGUAACCU
rnacentral:rRNA from 2 species